UACAGAGGUGCCGAGCGUUAGGCGGAAUCACUGGGCUUAAAGCGUGUGUAGGCGGACUUCUAAGUGCCUUGUGAAAUCCCCCGGCUUAACCGGGGAAUGGCUGGGCAGACUGGGAGUCCUGAGUGGCCUAGGGGCAACUGGAACAAACGGUGGAGCGGUGAAAUGCGUAGAUAUCGUUUGGAACGCCAAAGGUGAAAACAGGUUGCUGGGGGCCAACUGACGCUGAGACACGAAAGCCAGGGGAGCAAACGGG
rnacentral:rRNA from 1 species